GUCGGACACGAAGCUCUUUGCUCGACUUUCGAAUUCUCCCCACUCUCCAUCCCUGAAUUCACCACCUUGCCGCGUCCUGACUGUUCCAUCCCUACGAUGGCGACGCCCAGCGUCGAUUCGUGCGCAAUUUCAUCCCUAGCUUGGAGAUUCGUUCUCCUAUGGACGCCUGUACGUUUAUCGAAUGGGAAUCGUUUUGUGAUUAAUAGUGAAUCGACAUAGAUUUGUGCUUUAUUAAGGAUACUUUUAUGAGCAGUAUUGUCUCCUACAAAAGCGUGUAACAUUUGAAGCGAGCAUGUGGGCACACGAGAAUAAGCCGGCUGUGAAACCAAUCAAGGACUUACGGCGUCCACAUUCCACAUCUAACACCUUCCUAUCUCUAAACAUGAUCGCUUAUAAAAUGGUGCUGAAGGGAGAAGGAGGGUGAAGGGGAGGAAAUACGAGGGGAAAAGAAUGGAGUUAUGGAGCGACUAGGGAAGCGAAGGGGAAGAGAAAGAUGCCGGCUGGCAAGCAGAUGGUUGCCCCGUUUAUUGGUUUAUUCGUCGGUUCAGCCAUGACGUUCCGUCCGGCCAUGAAACAAGCCGGAGAUUCUCCUUGUGUUAGAGAAUAUCAAGCAACGAGGCUACAACUGCUCUUCCUAUUAAAGUGCAUCUGUGAGCUACUUACUCGCGUAAUUUUUCACAGACACUUUGCAUCAUUCUUAUCAUGAUGAAUUAUAUAUCAAUAAGAAGAAAAGGUCUAUAAAUUUCCAAUGUAUAUAUGAUAUUCAGUAAUGGCGUCCUAAGGGCGGACGAAAUGCUCGGGUCGAUAGAAGGUUGCUUGCGAAACUCAAAUACGCUUUCGUCUUAUUGCUGAUGAUCAUCCCCACUUACAAUGGGCUUAUCUAUGAUAUAUCUUCAGGAAUGUAAUCAACAUGAUUCGAAAUUGAUUAGAUCGUAAAUGUUUGCAUGCGAAUAACCAGCGUAUACGACAUGACCAAGUAACCUGGAAAUGAAAGGUACAUCGACACACGUAUAGGAAUAAAAGAAGCUAUACCGCUAAGAAGACGAAGA